ACGACCUUACUUGAACAGGAUCUGUUCUAUAGGAUCGUACCGCUGCAUCCUUGACUAAUAAGGAGGCAAGCACUUAAGCCUGGUUGAUGAGUCAUGACCUGUGGGCCAGAGCGUGAUUAACGGCCAAGAUCUUGCUUGAUGCUGUGUCUGGUGCUGUAGAGGAUCGUUCCUGGUCAGGCUUGCUUGGCUGGGGUGGCCAACAGGUUGUCUGACAGGCC
rnacentral:snoRNA from 2 species